UGACAGUUCAUCAGACUGGAAUAUUUCGGUCUCACCCCAAGAAGUUGGUCUACUUUUUAAAGUCAGGUAUAAAAUGACGGUCUAAGAAUCAUAUUCUAUAGAGUGCAUGUUAGCAGGAGUUCGCCAGAGUCGCAGAUCUUUUCUGGACAGCACCACAGACAAAUUCAUGUCAUUUGUUUAUAAAUGCCCAAACCAACCCUGAACCUUGCUUCUCCUGCCUGGCUUCUACAUUUCCGCCCUCAGCAGCAUUUACUUCAGAGCAUACAGACAAUUAGGUCCAUCCUCUGAGGUAGGCACUUCAGUCUCUCUGUACCCAAGCUGCACAUGAAUACUGACGGUGCAGCGGUUUUUCUAUUUUGUUCUCAGCCCUUUCACUCCGGCCCUACGGGGACGGGAACUCUGAGGCUGAAAUGCCUUGUAAACAACUGUUAGGUUGAGGAAUAGAUGUCAGAUUCUUUCCUUGUAAUGAAGCUCAAAUGAAUCACGCCAGUGGAGAUUAUUAAUGAUUUGGAGUCAAUCCACUUAAGUAAUUUACUAUCAUCAUAAGGGAGUUAGGCAGAGCAGGAACUCCGAGCUGUGAAAUGCCUCGAGUGCACCAGUAAAUAAGUCAAUGGCUGAACCAUCAAAGUCUUACAGUCCCUCAUCCUGAAAGACGGGGAAGCCAGGAUUUAACACCACAACUGUCUUCACUCUCCUUCCACUGAGGACAGAAUGAAAGGACACGGAGGAAUUCUUGCUAGCUCUCCAAACCGGUUGAGCACUGUGACCCCUUCCCUGCUCAGAGCUGAGAACUGUGAGGGCCCACGGAUGAGGUAGAGGGGAUGAAAGUCAAGUCGGAAUGCUGAGGCUGGACUGUCUGAGCCAUAUCUUCCAUUAAUGCCUCACAGCUAGAGUCAGAUAAUAAAGGAAUUUAUGUCACAGCAAAACUUGUCCCUGGAUUCUAUUAAUGACACAUCACAGCACCCUUAGGAGAUACUGGUUUGGCCAUUGCCAGCUCUCCAUGCUGGUGACGGCUGAUACUAAAGGUAGUUUUACUCACAGCAAACUCAAGAUAGUAUGACUUUUGAAUGGGCUCUGCAAGCCCAGAACACCGAUCGGUGCAGCUAUCGCACAGAUGUUUUGGAAAGUUACACAGGGACGUCUUAUUUGUUCCCAUCGACAUUCCCCUGGUCUGUAUAAGACGGUUCAUCACUGUUCACUCCGGGAGGAUGUCCUUGCAAAUGUCUUCAACCAUCCUUGCCCUUCUCUCAUUCCUUCUUACUUAUCUGCGAAGCCCUGGCCAAUCCUCCUGGUCCAACCAGCUGCCUCACUGUUUCGACAUGCAGAUUACUGAUGCUGGAGGACAUUCCCACAAAGCGAUGUCACUGAGGCAAGUGGGAUGUCACCCUUCACAGCUUUCGGGAGAUGUGUAAGUACAUAGUUAUUUGAUUUUCUGUUAAGUGCCUGUAUUUUCUCAUGGGGCCCCAAGUUCCACAGGGCAAAAAAGCGUGUGGUCUGUUCAACUAUAGGAUGCCCAGAGGUUAGCACAGUGGCUGGCAUGCAGGAGCCUCACGAAUGUUUAUCACCCAAGUGACCUAUUUAUAUGUCUGUAGACCAUCACAUUCUCCUCAUGCACACUUGUUGGCAUUUCAUGGCAUACCUUCUACUUUUUGGAGAAAGAAAAAUAUAUGAGGUCCAGAGAGGCCUUAGAGUGUCUAUGAAGAAUCAAGGCAGUCCCAGCUAAGCUCUCCUUAAGUCUCUGGGUUCUUAACUCACAGGUGACAAAGUGGGGCCAUUGAAAGUAAAAAAAGAAUCCCUGAUCCCCAGUGGAGAGGAGAGACAAAUGACACAUCUAUAGACCUCACAGGAAAUGCAAAAUUGCUUCUUUCUCUUCCUCAGACAACUCUCCCUCUUCCAGUAGUGGUGUGGACUCGGCUCUGAGCGCUGUGCCUGGGCCGGGUGAGCUGAGGGAGGGUGGGCAACGCGUCGUGCCCCCCCAGAGGAAGGAGGGCCCUUCUGUAACUCACAGUGAGAAGCAGAGGGCUGGCCAUGCGCGGGCUCUGCUCCCCGGCUCAGGAGUCGGCUGCAGCGGAAGCACAUGAUGGCGUGGCCUACGGACACGUGCACUCGAGUCCUGGCCGUGCGGAGGGGACCGCUGGGCGCUCAGCUCCCUCACCCUGUGCCAGGAGGGUUGUCAACAGGGGUCUCCCCUGAGUAUUUGCAAGUUGACGAGUCUGAGAAAGCCCCUAUCAGCUCUCUGCGCGGCAUCGCUCACCUUUGUACCUAAUGAGUGACCAGAAGAUGUGAGGUCGAGUACUGGAGCUUCUGGUGCUUCAGUCGUGAUUCAGCGCCCUGGUGUGCCAGAUGAAGACUUGGUCUACGCACUGUGUAUACACCAACUCACACAAUGAUGAGGCAAGUCCUACUAUCAUCACCAUGCGAUGGGCAUGAAAUCAAGAGGCACAGACGGUCUGUGCAUCUUAACACCUUCCAUUAAAGAUGCUGGUGGCUUUCCCCUUGAAUCAGGAGACACAUGCUUAGUUCAGGAAGUAUUCAUACUUCUUCCUACACAUCAAUUUUACUUCAUUUAACCAUCCACACUGGCAUCUCCUGUACAUACGUGAAUGCUAAGUCACUUCAGUUGUGUUGGACUCUUUGCAACCCCAUGGAC